rnacentral:rRNA from 1 species
AUUCGCCCGCCGCGCCCCGCGCCCGUCCCGCCGCCCCCGCCCGCUCCUACGGGAGGCAGCAGUGGGGAAUAUUGCACAAUGGGCGCAAGCCUGAUGCAGCGACGCCGCGUGCGGGAUGGAGGCCUUCGGGUUGUAAACCGCUUUUGUUCAAGGGCAAGGCACGGUCUUUGGCCGUGUUGAGUGGAUUGUUCGAAUAAGCACCGGCUAACUACGUGCCAGCAGCCGCGGUAAUACAAUCCAUAUGACUAGUA